UCUGAAUACUUUCCGAAUGCACCGUAACUGUUUAAUGUUGCUGGACCCCAGGAAGAGAAGCUGUUGCCUUCGCAGAAAUUAACGGGGACCCUAAAUACAAAUACCAGUCAAUUGCCAGGUUUAGAGCUUCCAUGUCUGUUCUAUUCAUUCUUAUUUAUAUGGUCAUGCCAUAGGGUAUUACAGGGGCAGCCAUGACAGGAAGGUUGAUGCUUGGCAUUGUUGCGUCACAAUACAAAAUGCCUCUGAUGACGUAAUGAUCAAACACCAAACUGCCACUGGUGUAAUGACGGAUUAUUAGCUGAUUGAACUACGAGGUGAACGGUAUUCAAGACUAGAAGGAGCAUUCUGAUAAGAACACUGCAGACCAGUGAAUGAUGAAUAGGAGGCCCAACCUGAAUGGGUCUGGAGGACCAAGGUCCAUCGGUGUUCCACUACUCUGUCCUUCUAACAGAGUGCUGCUGGAGAGAGAAGAGGUCAGCCAGGACCCAGUGAUGGC
rnacentral:lncRNA from 1 species